GAUGAACGCUAGCGGCAGGCUUAAUACAUGCAAGUCGAGGGGCAGCAGUCCCGCAGCAAUGCGGGAGCUGGCGACCGGCAAACGGGUGCGGAACACGUACAGAACCUUCCUUCGAGCGGGGAAUAGCCCAGAGAAAUUUGGAUUAAUACCCCAUAGCAUUACGAAGUGGCAUCACUUUAUAAUUAAAGAUUUAUCACUCGAAGAUGGCUGUGCGGCUGAUAGGUAGUUGGCGGAGUAACGGCCCACCAAGCCUUCGAUCAGUAACUGGUGUGAGAGCACGACCAGUCACACGGGCACUGAGACGACGGGCCCGACUCCUACGGGAGGCAGCAGUAAGGAAUAUUGGUCAAUGGAACGAAAGUCU
rnacentral:rRNA from 1 species